rnacentral:lncRNA from 1 species
GGUAUGGGAGUCUAAAAUAAAAAUGAUAGAAUUUGUUCAUACUUUGCCAAAACGUAGUAUCUGUCGAUAUAUGGUAAAAAAUAUAAUAAAAAUGAUAGGUCACCGCGCAUUUUCUCAAGCUACAGGUUGUGACAAAAUGACACAUUUUGUAUGGAUUAUACAGGAAAAAACACCAUUUUGUGAUUAGAAACUAAACGAAUGAUAGAAUUGUAAAAUAAAUUAGGAAAAGAUAGCUUUCAGACAAUGCUUUGAGAAUAUCAAAAGUAAAGGUAGGGUCACCGUACGUUUUUUCCGGCUAAAAUACAAAAUAGGAAAAUUCCAUGUAGAUUCCUUCAGAAAAUGCACUGUUUUAAAGUUACCUCCCCUUAAAAUGCCAAUUUUAAAA